UUUUUUUUUAUUGGAGUUAGAUUUAUUUUUUAUUAAGGGAUCGUUGAUGUACAGAGUCGAGUCCAUUUCUGCUGUACAGCAUAGAGCACUUACAGGUUCUCAAAUUAAGGGAAAUCAGUCAAAGAGAAAGAUUAAAAAAAUCCCAUAGGUUAUUGCUUCUGUGUGGGAUCUAAAAUGCGGCACAAAUGAACCUGUCUACAGAACAGAAACAGACUCAGAGACACAGAGAACAGACUUGGGGUUGCCAAGGGGGAGGGGGAGGGAGGGGACGGACGGGGAGUUUGGGGUUCGUAGAUACAAACUAGGACAUGGACAAUGGAUAAGCCAUGAGGUCCUGCUGUCCAGCCCAGGGAACUCUAUCCGGUCUCCUGGGAUAGACCGUGAUGGAAGAGAAUACGAGAAAAAGAAUGUAUAUACAUGCGUGACUGGGUCACUCUGCUGUGCAGCAGAAACUGACAGAACACUGUAAAUCAACUAUACUUUAAUGUAAAAAAUAUAAAUUAGAAACUAUGGCACAGACGAACCUCUCUGCAAAACAGAAACAGACUCGCAGACACAGAGCACAGACGUGUGGUUGCCAAGGGGGAGGGGGAGGGAGGGGACGGACGGGGAGUUUGGGGCUCGUAGAUGCAAACCCUGACACUGAGAAUGGAUAAGCAGUGAGGUCUAUGAUUCCUUUUUAUCCACGUGUUGGUGUGGCUCUUCUCUUCUGCCGCCAACACGGGGUACGCCAAGCUUCCUACGGCAGCCACACUGUGUCAGGUUCACUCAGGAUCAAGCAGUCACCCCAGGGAAAGGCGGUCAGUAUCCAUCAGCCACACAGUUUGGCUGCUGGGGACAGUUCAUGGGCUGAGAGAUGGCAGUGCCCAUGUUGCCAAGCCCCCAAGAAUAUAAGGCGGGGCACGAAGGCGGGACACGGAUCUGGUGCAGCAAGAGAAGGCUGAGGAGGUGAACAUGAGCCUCGGGCCACUCUCGGGAAGACGUCAUGGCUCGUGAUGGCGAAGCCGCUGUCCUUGGCAGAGGCGCAUGACACAUCCAGCUCCAAGGCACCUGUCUAGCGGUUUUCUCCACAGACGUCUGUGCAAACCUCUCCAUGGGCAAGAAAAGUCACAGGAGAAGUGAGAAAAGCUCCUUCCCCCUCUGUGCAAAGGAAUAAUAAAAAUCUGUGCCCAGGGAACCCAAGGAGGAUCCAUACCAGAAAAGGGCGGCAUUGCCCACAGGGGAGCAGGCGCGACAGGUGUGGGAUUAGCUGAGUCCUUUAAAGGAACAAACAUAGCAUCGGAGCUCCUAUUCAUCACCUGAAGCUGCUAUCAGAACACUUCCAGGACUUCGUGUUGUGGCUCAGCGGGUAAAAGACCCGAAGGGUCUCCAUGAGGACGCAGGUUCGAUCCCUGGCCUCGCUCCAUGGGUUAAGGAUCUGGUGUGGCUGUGAGCUGUGGGGUAGGUCACAGACUGGGCUCGGAUCCCACGUUGCUGUGGCUGUGCCGUAGGCUGGCAGCUGCAGCUCCUGUGCAGCCCCUAGCCUGGAACCUUCCACAUGCUGCAGGUGUGGCCCUAAAAAGUAAAAUCUCAGGCUAAAUAAAACACGGGCAUGUUUCUCCAUAUCUUCUUCCAGUGUGAUUUCUGCCUCAUUUACUGCUCCCUCCUUCUCACCCAUCUGGGGGACAAGACUUGAGGGUUCUCCCAUCCUGUUCACCUUCUGGAGCUUUCGUCUCGUUUCUGUGAACGUCCGCCUCACUGUCUGGGGAGGCUCCACCCCCCGUCCCCCCAGGUCCUGAGAACCCUGGGCAUCUCAUGGGAGGACCUCACGGUGGCCGUGCAUUGCUUCUCCUCCCCGAGUGGGUAAAGCUUCAAGGCCCCCACCCCUGCGGGGAAUCCGGGCAUCUUCCAGGAGAACCCCCGCUCCAGGCCCAGGCGUCUUGGUCCUGGAAGGAGACAGGUGCGUGAGCAGAGGCAGGCGGCCACCCCGCACGGGCGCGUGGGUGCUGACGUGCUGGGACGUGAUGCCCUGCUCCUGCCGCCCAUGGAGGCUCUGGCGUCCCCAGCUCUCCGCCCUGACCUCCUUCUCUGCCUCCGUCCCCAAGCAGGAUCUCUGUGGGGUGACGAUGGACAGAGCCAUGCGGGUGGACGCGCCCCCUCCUUCCUCUCUGGCAACCCAACAUUUCUCUGCCUGGCCUUCCCUCACAGCCGCACCCCCGCCAUUCCCUGACGCCUCCACACCUGGGUGCUUGGGGACAAGGCGUUAAAUGCCAGGCGGAUCCUAUAGAGAAAGUGAUGGUGUCGCCUCCUUACAGGGUCUGCCCACACCUGGACCAGGAAGCCCAGGAUUUAUGAGUUCAUGACGCGUGGCUUUAUGACCAGCAGCCCGUCCACUGCGCUGGGGGCCGGGAAGCUGUGGUUGGGCGGGGGUGAGUUCUGGGCGCAGCUGUCCCCUCAAAGGCACUAGACACGUUACACCGGUUCCCCCGCCUCCUCGGCCUCCAUCCAUCUGAGCCAGACGGGGUCCAUGUCUGCAGGAGACACCGGUCCUGCCUGAGCAUCCUGCCGACUCGCCACCAGCCUGGCAACGUGGAGCUGCUGAGCACCGAUUCGGGACAUGGUCCUGCCACGCAAGACCAACCAUGAAGCGGGCACAGGUGUGCGUCACAGCCCUGCUUGCCUACAACUCCCGGAAAAGGGGUGUUCCUAGAAAGCAGACCCGCUUCUCCAUCGAAGCACAGAUCCAGAUCCACCUGCUGCAGGAAAACAUGAUUUUCCCACAACUUGGGGCACCGUCUUCCCCACUCCGUCCCCCAGCCCGGCAUCUCCUUGAAAGUAGAAAGAAUCAGAGUUCCUGUCAUGGCUCCGUGGGUUAAGAACCCAACAUAGUGUCUGUCAGGAUGUGGGUUCGAUCCCUGGCCUCGCUCAAUGGGUUAAGGAUCCAGCAUGGCCAUGAGCUGUGCUGUAGGUCACAGAUACGGCUUGGAUCUGGUAUCGCUAUGGCUGUGGUGUAGACCAGAAGCUGCAGUUCGGGUUCAAAACCUAGCCUGGGAACUUCCAUAUUCUGUGGGUAGGACCGUAAAAAGAAAAGAAAAGAAAAAGAAAAAAUAAUCAACUAUACUUCAAUAAAAUUUUCAAAAAAAAAAAAAGGGAAAAAAAGGGGGAAUCGCCUAAGUGUCUUUUGACAGGAGACAAGUGCUAUUAUAAUGCACUUUCUAGUUUCUGUGUUUCUGAUGCUUUGACCUCAUGGGGUCUUGCUGACUUCCUAGGGGUGGCCCCGUUCCUAGAGAGAGCCAAGGACUCACCUUUCAAAUGCCCACUGACCCAGGCAGAGCCCCUCAUCUCCUCUGUGGGGCUCCCCUAGUCUGGGCCACCGUGCACCUUCCCUCGUCCCCCUGCCCCAGGGCCAGGUGCCAGCAACUAGAACAGCCCUGCACCUCAGGACCGGCUGGAUAUGUCACACCAGCCCCCUGUAAGCCUGUUCCCCUGCCUCACCUGUUCCCUCCUGCAGAAACUGCAGUACAGGUGCUUGUCUUGUUCCCCUUCCACCUGCCUCCUGACCCACCCCGGAGCUGCCCCGUGUAACCCUGCAUGGCGUGGCAUGUCCCCUCCUCUUAGAAAUGGUGAGUCACCAGCUGUCUCUUUUUUCUCCUGUUCUUGUAGAGGUAAAACCAAUGAAUAAAAAUUGCAUCGCUUUCACAGGAAUACUACUCAGCCAUAAAAAAGAACGAAAUCAUGCCAUGUGCAGCCACAGGGAUGCAACGAGAAAUUCUCAACUUCAGCGAAGUGAGUGAAGAAAGAGAAAGACAAAUACCAUAUGAGACCACUUUUAUGUGGAGUGUGGAGUCUAAAAUGUGGCACAGAUGAUUCUACCUACAGAACAGAAACAGACUCACAGACGUGGAGGACAGCUGUGUGGUUGCCAAGGGGGAGGGGGCGGGAUGGACGGGGAGUCUGGGGUUCGUAGACUCAAACCAUGACACUGAGAAUGGGUAAGCUGUGGGGUCCUACUGUCCAGCGCAGGGAACUCUAGCCAGUCUCCUGGGAUAGACCAGGAUGGAAGAGUCUAUAAGAAAGGGAAUGUAUACAUAUGCAUGACUGGGUCACUGUACUGUGCCACAGAAAUGGGCACAACCCUGUAAAUCAACUAUAUUUUAAUUUAAACAAUGGUGAGGCUUGGGCUGGCAUAUGCCCACUGAGGAAUAUGGAAUAGCCAGUUCGCAGGGACCUGCUGUCUGGCACAGGGAGCACGACCCGUCUUCUGGGCUAACCCAGACGAGGCUGGGUGCGUGUUUCUGUGUGCAUACCUGAAUCAUCUGCAUUGACACCACAGGACACCUCUGCUAUAUGUCCAUCUAAAACCCAUGGUUAAGACGGCAAAUCCUACGCUAGGUUAGUUUACCGCCGUGGAACCAGUAAUAAUAAAAAGUACGCCACGUAACCGCCAUCCGCAGGUUAUACGUCAGAAGAAGGUACUCUCACCUGGAGUAAUAGCUGCUUCCAUCUCAGGCCUGGGAUUGCUUCUUGCGUCUCUGGGUAUCUCGCGAAGCCAGAGCCUCGGCACACACAGGGUGGCGCGUGCAUCCAAAGCAUCUUGUGGAAACGCACGGGAGGGGCUGUCCUUGGCACCCUAGUGCAGGACCGCCUUCCAAGCACGUGCAGGAGGGACUGCAUCCUCGAAGCUGCUGGCAGGGUGGUUCUGAGGACACGGGACAUCGGUCUGUUGAGUUUUCCGGUGCGUAGGCGGAGUCUGUGUGGGAGGACUGUCAGAGCUGCCCUCAUUUCAUCACACUAAGCAGCCGUGCACCAAAGGACCAUGGCAUCUCAGUGACGUGCCGGGCAUGGUAUGCCUGUGGCCGCCCACAGCAGCGCAACAGGGCGGGUACCACCAGCUCCGUUUUAGGAGCAGCAGGUUUGUGCCUCAACAUCUGUGUCCAACGGAUCCACUGAGCUGCGUCCCCGGGCUCUGGAGAGAAUGAAAUCCACAACCGAGUCUCAACCAGGAACCAGAGGUCCCUUUUCCUCGAGCACUUUGCUCGAGGUGCCUCUGUGCCCUCGGAGCUGCCUGGUGGCUUUAGGCAGUGAGCUCUGGACGCACCCAUUCAGGGGAGAGGGGAUGGUGACACAGAACUCAGGCAGCAGAAGCCCCAGGAAGCAGAUCGAGCAGCCCGAAAUCAAAAUCAGAUGCACGGCUGAUUUCUGGCGGCUUUCUGCUCUUCCAGCCCCUGCCUGGACUGAACAGGGUGAACGGCAGUGCCCCCCACGAUGGGGGCUCUGCACGCAGAACAGGAUGAAACAGUUCUACUCCCAGCGCUCCAGCUCACAGACACUGCAGCCCUUUCCUCCUGGGGUCCUUUCCCGGCUUAUCCUCCGGCACGGUGGAAAUCUGAGCAAGCCGCCCGCCGCUUCGAGUCUGCAUCUGCCGGCUCCAGUGGUGGCUGUGACGAUGGCAAUAAAUGACAGUGCAGAUGGUGAAGGCAGACGAGAGAUGUGGAGGCUCGACUGUCUGUGUGCUUCUCACGGACCUAAGAGUUCUGCAUCCUUUAUUUUCAUUUUCUUUUAAUUUUACACAAGUGUGUCACUAGAAAAAGACCAAGCUGGACCGCUCCGUCUAUGCUGUCUAACGGUACCCUGCUUCCAGCAUGCAUGCUUCUCCAACUCUCAUCUUUUUGCUUUUUUUUCUACCAUCUGGCACUUUAUCUGUGUUAUUAUUAUGGCAGAAUAAGAUGUAAGAACUAGGCGUUUUGGAUAUUACCCCCCACCAGUCAUAAGCAACAUGAGGCAGGGGUGGAGGGCGCUGUCUCAUUUAUAGAUGUUAUCUUAGAUGCUCGAUGAACGCCUGAAGACUUGAAUCUUCCAGAAACUCCUCUGAGGCAGUCAAGUUAUAGUUCCCGUUUCCCAGAUAAGAAAAGGGGGUGGUUUCCAUAGCGACUGCACCAACUGACAUUCCCACCAAGAGUGCAGGAGGGUUCCCUUUUCUCCACACCCCUUCCAGCAUUUGUUAUCUGUAGACUCUUGAAUGAUGGCCAUUCUGACUGCUGUGAGGUGGUACCUCAUGGUAGUUUUGAUGUGCACUUCUCUAACGAUGAGUGAUGCUGAGUGGUUUUUUGUUUUUUCAUGUGCCUACUGGCCAUCCGUACAUCUUCUUUGGAGAAAUGAGUAUUUAGGUUUUCUGCCCGUUUUUUGAUGCCAUUUGCAGCAACAUGGGUGCAACGAGA
rnacentral:lncRNA from 1 species